ensembl:lncRNA
CGGCCGAGCGGAACGGAUUUCCUCCACGAGGGGCGGCAGCAGGCGGGGACGCUGUGCAAAGGUGGGACCUAGGUGUUGUCAAAGGCACGCACACAACUACCCCCGACUGCCUUUCUAGUCAGUGCCCUCGUCUCAGCCGGGCCUCUGGCUACAGCCGCAACUGUUCAAAACCGCAGGGGGUGACGGCGCCGCGCGGUCUGGCCGGGAAUUGUAGUCCUUCCGGGGCGGAGGCGACCCAGGGCUCGGCUCGGCCACUACAAGUUCGGGACUCCAAGCCCCAUGGGUCCUUGUGCGGGCGGCGGACCGCCUUUCCCGCUGCUUGCAUUGAUUGGUCAUAGCGCCUGUUAAUAUUCUGAAUUAUGUCCGUGAUUAGCUAGGCUGAGCAAGGUGGGUCCGCCCCUCCAAUUGGAGGCGUGCGUCUUCGUGGACACGAAGUAGGCCGGGGGGGCGGGGCCUGCGCGGAGGGAUCUCGGCGGCGGAGGCGACGGAGUGCCGCCUGUCGCCGCCAUCUUGAGCUGGGAGAGGCCGCGGAGGGACUCGCUGCUCUCAGUGGCAGCCCAGGGAAAACGAGUCCGGUAUCGCGUUGGGGAGGCUGUAACAUCUUCCCGGUUUAGAGAACUUUGUUUCACAAACUAAACAGUGGGGCCGUUGUCACUGGGGCCCCUCAUCCGUCGGUCCGGAAGCUUCGAGCAGCCCGGGAGAUCCGAUCGACUUCGUGUUGUGGCGUCAAGGGGGGACCCGCGGCGACAGUCAGCUCGGCCUUGUCACCGCUGUGCUGGCUUCGCCGUGAGGGAAGCUUGCUGUGAAGCGAGCGCAUUGAGUUGCAGAGUAAACCAUUUUGUUCCUCCUGUUUGAAAUCUAGCCUAGAGAGGCCUGUGGCUCAGGGAUGUCUUCAGAAAUAGUUUUGUCGCCACCGUGUCCGUUAAAGCUAUGUCCAAGGAGGCCCUCAAGGAGGACGGCAUCCUGGGGAUGUAGGUCUGCCCGGCGUCUCAAAGUCCUGGGUCGGAUCCCAGGACCGGAAAAAGGAGUAAGGAAAAAAAAGAAGGACAGUGCCUGGGCAGGGAGCUUCGCUGGGUAUCUUGCGAUGAACCUGUUACCAGCCACAAAUGUUAAAUCAUUCCUAAGCCUUUGGCCCUAAGAGCAAGAACCUUGAGUCUCUGCAAUUGAUGUGCUUCCCUUCCUGUUAAUAAAGUCGUUUUUGGCUGGGGAUUUAGCUCCGUGGUUUCGCCGCCUGCUGCGCAAGCGCAAGGACCCUGGUACCCCCAAAAAUAAAGUUGUUUUCAUAAAUUGAGUGAUAACUCCGUAGCUUCUACCAUUUUCUCUGUCCAUCCUUCAGAUAUUCUCAGAAAGAUCUCAAAAAUAGAUUGAACAUCAACUAUGGUUCCUCUUCCAAAAUUUGAACCAUUUUCUGUUAACUGAAGCUUGGGUGGACUUGAUCCAUCCUGUAGUUUGAUUUUGGCACGUUAACUUCACAUUGGGACCAGCUAGACCGGGUGCAUGAAAACCUCAGCUCACUGCUUAGAGACCUCUGGGAGCUCUGGCCAAGAUUUCUCCCAUGCAGCCCAUUUUCCAAAUGACUUGACUUUACACUGAGAGAUGAGUUAGGAAAAGCUAAUUUAGCAGGAGGCAAGUAAAAUAGUCAUAGGAGCUGAAAGGGGUCCUAGGAAUAACCUUUGUGAUUCUUUUGUUAAGAAUUUAUUGGAGGAGGAUCCUGGACUCUGAUUCAUCCUCCAUUGUGAAGUAAUCCAGCUAAGCCUUUGGUUGCUCUACAUGGCAAUACCAUACCAGGUGCAGAAAUGUGCUACUCAUUUAUAAAUGAAAGCUUUCCGUCUUUAAGGUUAACCCGUAAAAUUUUGCAUUUCUUUUUUUUUUUUUUUUUUUUGGUACCAGAGAUCGAACUCGGGUCCUUGCGCUUGCGCAGCAGGUGGCAAAACCACUGAGCUAAAUCCCCGGCCCUGCAUUUCUUGAUAAGCAAACUUGGGAAUAAAACCAGUUUGUCAGUGGAAGUGAAAAACCCAAGUUCUGGUUCUGUGGGUGCUGCCUUUUUGUUGGCUUGGCCAGAGGCCAGAUCCUGAAGGUGAGGCCAGGCUGGUCAUUUGUUGGGUCUGUUGUUCAUCUUGUGUUCAGCCUUCAGCUUCCUCACGUGCGGUCCCUUUCCAAUGGUUGCUUUGUGCCUUAGGACAAGUUCUAUAAACCCUGCCUGCCUGAUUCCUGAUUUGAAAAUGGUAUCUGUGAGGCGUGCUGGUAAAUAGCUCCACUAGCUGUGUAAACAUUUACUCCCUCUAACUUUGUGUUUGGGGACUUUACAGCUUCUCCAUAAGUUCUUAGGGCAGCAGGGAGGCAGCAGAGUGGCUAUCCAAGCAGGCUGUGUGACCUCAGCCUCGGGGUACAACACAAUUCACAGUGCACAUUUCCCUGAUGGCCAACUCCCAUGGUCCAGCAUGAGCAGGACCCGUGGACAGGAGGAGUCUUCUUGGUUGUUGUAGUUUUUUAUUUUUUUCCCAGUACUGUGAUUGAACCCAAGCCCAUGCAUGUUAUGCACAUGUUCUACCACUAAGCUAUAGCUCCUUUAAAAAUUUUUUCUUUGCCUGGGAUUUAGCUCAGUGGUUCUGGCGCUGGCCUGGCAAGCGCAAGGUACUGAGUUCAAUCCCCGGUACCAAACAAAAAAAAUGUUGAACUACUUACUUAUUUUUGGUUCUUUGAGAUUGUCUCACAGUGUAGACCAGGCUGGCUGAUGGUGAUCCUCCUAUCUCAGCCUCCCUAGCUCUGCGAUUACAGGUGUGGACCACCAUGCCCGACAAUUUUCACUCUUCUUGAAAAGAAAAAAAAACAAACCAUUAAAUCCAGUGUAACUGCUCUUGAUACUGCGCUUAGGGAAUGGUCACAUUAGCUAUUUCAAGACUUACUGAUAUUUCCUGUAGUGGCUCAGCCCUUUGAGUUUUAUCGGCAGGCAAAAGUUGAUUAGUGGAUUACAGGAUUAUUCCUGCAGUUUCCUGAGUGCUUACAUCCUUGUCAUUACUGACCCUUCUCAAGUAUAACCUAAGAGAGGGCCGGGGAUUUAGCUCAGUGGUUCUGCCACCUGCCUCGCAAGCAGAAGGACCCGAGUUGGAUCUCCAGUACCAAAAAAAAAAAGAAGAUACCUAAGAGAAAGUUUACUUGGGAAGAUUUGUAAGUGCUAAGUUACUGGUCCAUCUAAAAAUCCACAUUCAGGCCAGGGAUUUAGCUCAGUGGUUCUGCCACCUGCCUUGCAAGAGCAAGGUCCUGAGUUCAAUCCCCAGUACCAAAAAAAAUUUUUAAAGUUAAAAAUAAAAUCCACAUUCGUUUUUUUCAACAAGAACCAGAAUGGUAAGCUUUCCAAUAUUCAAGAGAGCUGGCAAAAAUUAGCCAAAGAUUCACUCUGUGCCUCCUGGAUCAAAUAUUUUAUUCUAGUUGCAAAGUGUAACAUUAUCCUGCAGUCCUCAAUUCUCAUCUGGUUCAGGGUCUGAAUCUGACUUUUCGGGGUGGGGAGGUAGUCUAGGGAUUGAAUUUAAAGCUUUUACACUGAGCUACAUCUCUAGAUCAUUUUUUUAUUUUUUAUUUUGCCACAGGAUUUCAUUUAAUUGUCCAGGCUUGGCUCAAACUUGUGAUCCUCCUACCUCAGCAUCCCAGGGUGCUGGGAUUACAGGCCUGCAUCACCAUGCCCAGCUUUAUUUAUUUAUUUAUUUUUUAAAGUUUUGUUGUUGUUGUUGUUGUUGUUUUUGGGGGGGGAGGUACCGGGGAUGGACCUUGCGCUUGCAAGCCAGGCUGCAGAACCAGAGCUACAUCCCCUGCCCUGUUGUUGUUUUGUUUGUUUUUUGUACCGGGGAUCGAACUCCGGUCCUUCCACUUUCGAGGCAGGCGGCGGCACUGAGCUGAAUCGAGGCCCUGUUGUUGUUUUUUGAGAUGCGGUCUCACUCUGUAUGUAGUUCAGGGUGGCUCUGAACUCGGACCGGUCUUCCUACUUCAGCCUCCCAGAGUGCUGGCAUUACAGGUGUACACUACCAUAGCAAGCAGGCUUCCUUAUUUUAAAAUUACUUUUUUGGCCGG